rnacentral:piRNA from 1 species
UAGGAUAGGUGGGACCAAGUAGAGGCA